AAUUGCAUUCCAGAUUACUGACUUCUCAAGUACCUCAUAGGCAACUACUGGUUCCUGGAAUUCUGACUGGGUGCUCAGGAUAAAAAGAAGGAAAAAGAAGCAGCAAAGUAGGGAGAAAGAAGAAAUGAUGGAGCAGCAAGUGCCAGCAACUCAACUUUUCCAGGACAAAGUGCUUGGAGUCUGGGAAAUGGUAGUGGAGAGAAAUCAAAGUGAGAGAACAUUACUUGGGAACCAGGAGUGAACUGACAGAGGAGAAAAAAUGGAUUAAAAGAUGCAGAAGAAAUAGAACACAUCACAGAGAGGAGGGAGGACCUUCUGUAAACCACAGAUGAGAACAGCUGGCUAGCCAGCAUCUGGGAGACAAAAUAAAACUAAAACAUUUUUACUCAUGGAGAACUGCAUCGGGACUGAGAGAAUCAGCAG